ACGGAAGGCAGCAGUGGGGGAUAUUGCACAAUGGGGGAAACCCUGAUGCAGCGAUGCCGCGUGGAGGAAGAAGGUUUUCGGAUUGUAAACUCCUGUCCUGAAGGACGAUAAUGACGGUACUUCAGGAGGAAGCUCCGGCUAACUAUGUGCCAGCAGCCGCGGUAAUACAUAGGGAGCGAGCGUUAUCCGGAAUUACUGGGUGUAAAGGGAGCGCAGGCGGGACUGCAAGUCAGAUGUGAAAUAUACGGGCUCAACCUGUAGACUGCAUUUGAAACUGUGGUUCUUGAGUGAAGUAGAGGUAAGCGGAAUUCCUAGUGUAGCGGUGAAAUGCGUAGAUAUUAGGAGGAACAUCGGUGGCGAAGGCGGCUUACUGGGCUUUUACUGACGCUGAGGCUCGAAAGCGUGGGGAGCAAACAGGAUUAGAUACCCUGGUA
rnacentral:rRNA from 1 species